GGGCCCGCACAAGCAGCGGAGCAUGUGGUUUAAUUCGACGCAACGCGAAGAACCUUACCAGGUCUUGACAUCCAGUAAAAUCUGUAGAAAUGCAGUGUGCCUUCGGGCGUACUGAGACAGGUGGUGCA
rnacentral:rRNA from 1 species